GAUGAACGCUGGCGGCGUGCYUAAUACAUGCAAGUCGAACGAAACUUCUUUAUCACCGAGUGCUUGCACUCACCGAUAAAGAGUUGAGUGGCGAACGGGUGAGUAACACGUGGGCAACCUGCCCAAAAGAGGGGGAUAACACUUGGAAACAGGUGCUAAUACCGCAUAACCAUAGUUACCGCAUGGUAACUAUGUAAAAGGUGGCUAUGCUACCGCUUUUGGAUGGGCCCGCGGCGCAUUAGCUAGUUGGUGGGGUAAAGGCUUACCAAGGCAAUGAUGCGUAGCCGAACUGAGAGGUUGAUCGGCCACAUUGGGACUGAGACACGGCCCAAACUCCUACGGGAGGCAGCAGUAGGGAAUCUUCCACAAUGGGCGAAAGCCUGAUGGAGCAACGCCGCGUGGGUGAAGAAGG
rnacentral:rRNA from 1 species